GUUGAACGCUGGCGGCAGGCCUAACACAUGCAAGUCGAGCGGAUGAAGGGAGCUUGCUCCUGGAUUCAGCGGCGGACGGGUGAGUAAUGCCUAGGAAUCUGCCUGGUAGUGGGGGAUAACGUCCGGAAACGGGCGCUAAUACCGCAUACGUCCUGAGGGAGAAAGUGGGGGAUCUUCGGACCUCACGCUAUCAGAUGAGCCUAGGGCGGAUUAGCUAGUUGGUGGGGUAAAGGCCUACCAAGGCGACGAUCCGUAACUGGUCUGAGAGGAUGAUCAGUCACACUGGAGCUGAGACACGGUCCAUACUCCUACGGGAGGCAGCAGUGGGGAAUAUUGGGCAAUGGGCGAAAGCCUGAUCCAGCCAUGCCGCGUGUGUGAAGAAGGUCUUCGGAUUGUAAAGCACUUUUAGUUGGGAGGAAGGGCAGUAAGUUAAUACCUUGCUGUUGUGACGUUACCAACAGAAUAAGCACCGGCUAACUUCGUG
rnacentral:rRNA from 1 species